rnacentral:rRNA from 1 species
AUUGAACGCUGGCGGCAGGCCUAACACAUGCAAGUCGAGCGGCAGCGGGAGGAAGCUUGCUUCCUUGCCGGCGAGCGGCGGACGGGUGAGUAAGGUAUGGGGAUCUGGCCGAAGGCGGGGGAUAACCACUGGAAACGGUGGCUAAUACCGCAUAAUCUCUAAGGAGCAAAGUGGGGGACCGUUAAGGCCUCACACCUUCGGAUGAACCCAUAUGAAAAUUAGCAAGUAGGUGGGGUAAUGGCUCACGUAGGCGAAGAUCUUUAGGUGGUCUGAGAGGAGGAUCAGCCACACUGGGACUGAGACACGGCCACGACUCCUACGGGGGGCAGCAGUGGGGAAUAUUGCACAAUGGGCGCAAGCCUGAUGCAGCCAUGCCGCGUGUAUGAAGAAGGCCUUCGGGUUAUAAAGUACUUUCAGUCGUGAGGAAGGUGUUAAGGUUAAUAACCUUAGCAAUUGACGUUAGCGACAGAAGAAGCACCGGCUACCUCCGUGCCAGCCGCCGCGGUAA